rnacentral:lncRNA from 1 species
AAUACUUUAUCAAUAUAUUACCUAAAAUUUAACUAUAUCUCAAUAAAUACUGCACAUAAUAAAUUAAAUAAUGUAAAAAAUAGUACAAAAAAUGGGUUUUUUGUUGUUAAAUCACUCUAAAUUUGAUCCGAAAAUUUUGAAAUUUGGCAGGUAGAUUCCUUGCUAACACUUUAUCAAUAUAUUUCCUAAAAUGUAACUAUAUCUCAAUAAACACUGCACAGAAUAAAUUAAAUAAUGUAAAAAAUAGUACAAAAAAUGGGUUUUUUGUUGUUAAAUCACUCUAAAUUUGAUCCGAAAAUUUUGAAAUUUGGCAGGUAGAUUCCUUGAUAAUACUUGCUUUUUUUAUUACUUUUUUUCUAUUACUUUUUUUUAUUCCUUUUUUUUUAUUACUUUUCUUUUAUUACUUUUUUUUUAUUAAUUUUUUUUUAUUACUUUU